GAGUUUGAUCGUGGCUCAGAUUGAACGCUGGCGGCAGGCCUAACACAUGCAAGUCGAGCGGAUGACGGGAGCUUGCUCCUUGAUUCAGCGGCGGACGGGUGAGUAAUGCCUAGGAAUCUGCCUGGUAGUGGGGGACAACGUUUCGAAAGGAACGCUAAUACCGCAUACGUCCUACGGGAGAAAGCAGGGGACCUUCGGGCCUUGCGCUAUCAGAUGAGCCUAGGUCGGAUUAGCUAGUUGGUGGGGUAAUGGCUCACCAAGGCGACGAUCCGUAACUGGUCUGAGAGGAUGAUCAGUCACACUGGAACUGAGACACGGUCCAGACUCCUAUGGGAGGCAGCAGUGGGGAAUAUUGGACAAUGGGCGAAAGCCUGAUCCAGCCAUGCCGCGUGUGUGAAGAAGGUCUUCGGAUUGUAAAGCACUUUAAGUUGGGAGGAAGGGCAGUAAGUUAAUACCUUGCUGUUUUGACGUUACCGACAGAAUAAGCACCGGCUAACUCUGUGCCAGCCGCCG
rnacentral:rRNA from 1 species